rnacentral:lncRNA from 1 species
CUGCUAGUAAAAGGCGCUUUCUGCAGUGUCGGCUGGGAUCCCGCACAGCUGUGGCAGCCAGGGCUGCGGCGGCGGCUCGGUAGCUGCUUGCGUCCCCGAUGCCCCUGCUGCUGCUGCUGGUCUCUGCUCCAGACGCGCUCAGAAGGUGCCACCGCCGCCUUCUCUGCCCGGCUGGCCGCCGGGAGUGAACGCGCCCCCGCCUCCUGUCUGCUCUUCUGUCCGUCUGCACGUCUGUCAGUCCGACCGUCUGUCGGUCCGACUAGCAGCUCAGCGCGGGAUUCUCGCUUUCCUGCACUCUGCUCUCAAAGCUGCCACUCUCGCAGGCUGCCAGUCUGUGCACUGGUCUGUCCGUCCGUCCGAAUCUCUCCGUCCCACCAGCAAUGCAGCGUCCCUCUUCCGGUCUUCUGUGCCCACAGUCCUCUCCCACUCUGUGCCCCUGGCCGCUUCGCUCGGCCAACUCUGCAGAGACAAUCCCACAAUAAUAACACCUCGCCCCACCCGAAUCAAUCCGUAGCCUCAGAGCUCUUGGAGAUUCUCUGCUUUGAGCAAGACUGAAAGUCCGAGCGUGCAGCACCAAGUGUACUCCCUGUGGGUGACUGCCCAGACCGCUGCCCGCCUGAUCGCUGAUUUGGAAUCACAGAGGUGACACAAAAACCUGGGCAGGGUAGGACCUGGGGAAGGAACAGAGCUGACACCUGAAGAAAUAAAAGCCUUGAUUUUACCGCUUGUUCUAGAGACGCACUAUUUUUAUUAUCUGUAAUUCAUUUUUUUUUUCAUUGUCUCGGAGCACUCACUAACACACUACAAGGAAGGAAAAAAAAAAAAAAAAAAGGAAAAGGCGUAACGAAGGAGAGUGAAUAAAUUUCCGGAAUUCCACCUACUCCUUCUGAGUGAAUGUAGAGCUACUUUUCCAACAUUAUAGGUCACCAACCAAGAUAUACCACUCUAGCUUUCUGCUCCCAGCUGAGAGCAAGGCAUUUGAUUCUGGGCUUCUUUGCAAGGUUGUUAUUAAAGUGCAGCAAAAUUGUAGUUGUACACUCACACAUGGAAUUGCCAAAGCUCAUUCUGACUGUAUCUAGCAAUUCAGCUUCUGAAAUGUAGACACUGAAUAACUUCAUAUCUGGUGAAAUGAACGCCCCAUCCCACAAUAAACCGAAGAGGAGAAAAUCAACUUUUACCAGCUGUAAUUAGUAAUCC